GACGAGCGCUGGCGGCGUGCUUAACACAUGCAAGUCGAACGGAAAGGCCCUGCUUGCAGGGUACUCGAGUGGCGAACGGGUGAGUAACACGUGGGUGAUCUGCCCUGCACUUCGGGAUAAGCCUGGGAAACUGGGUCUAAUACCGGAUAGGAGCCAUUUUUAGUGUGAUGGUUGGAAAGUUUUUUCGGUGUAGGAUGAGCUCGCGGCCUAUCAGCUUGUUGGUGGGGUAAUGGCCUACCAAGGCGGCGACGGGUAGCCGGCCUGAGAGGGUGGACGGCCACAUUGGGACUGAGAUACGGCCCAGACUCCUACGGGAGGCAGCAGUGGGGAAUAUUGCACAAUGGGCGCAAGCCUGAUGCAGCGACGCCGCGUGGGGGAUGACGGCCUUCGGGUUGUAAACUCCUUUCGCUAGGGACGAAGCUUUUGUGACGGUACCUAGAGAAGAAGCACCGGCUAACUACGUG
rnacentral:rRNA from 1 species